rnacentral:rRNA from 1 species
UAGGGAAUCUUCGGCAAUGGGGGCAACCCUGACCGAGCAACGCCGCGUGAGUGAAGAAGGUUUUCGGAUCGUAAAGCUCUGUUGUAAGAGAAGAACGUGUGUGAGAGUGGAAAGUUCACACAGUGACGGUAACUUACCAGAAAGGGACGGCUAACUACGUGCCAGCAGCCGCGGUAAUACGUAGGUCCCGAGCGUUGUCCGGAUUUAUUGGGCGUUAAGCGAGCGCAGGCGGUUUAAUAAGUCUGAAGUUAAAGGCAGUGGCUUAACCAUUGUUCGCUUUGGAAACUGUUAAACUUGAGUGCAGAAGGGGAGAGUGGAAUUCCAUGUGUAGCGGUGAAAUGCGUAGAUAUAUGGAGGAACACCGGUGGCGAAAGCGGCUCUCUGGUCUGUAACUGACGCUGAGGCUCGAAAGCGUGGGGAGCAAACAGG